GAGAUUAGAACGAAUCCAAGACACAAAAUCUAAAUUAGAGUCCUCAGCGGUCAUUUCCAAAUUUAAGCUAAUCCAAAUAUGACGAGCUUUUUGGCAAGUCCUAAAGCAGUGGUUAAUAUCCUCUAGAGCAAGAUAACAUCUCUGACAAAAAUCAGAAGUAGAAAUACCUUUUUGAAACCGGUAACUAGCUGUGGGAACUCCGUUGUUGAGGCAAAGUCAGAGCAGACACUUUAUCUUCUCCGGUAUUCUCAAGCGCCAAAGCCAAAGCCAAUUUUCAUUAUCAUUCCAGCCAAAUUUCUUCUUCAAUAGCCAUUCAUACCCGCUUUUAGUCGAGUAGGUGAGAGUAUUUGAGUUUGUCCAAAACCAACCUGUUUUAUCUUCUGCCUGCUUGAUAGGAUCAAAGAGCAUCAAAUCAAGUUUAACUUCUUCCGGAAUCAUUGUGCAAAGAAUAUCCCACCACCAAUGCCCAAGGUGCCAGACAUCUUCUAACUUCAAGUGAGAAUCAGAAAUGUGCACAAAAGGAGCCAAAGGAGCUAGCGUUCCGCAUGGUCGCCAAGCAUGAUACCAAAAGGAUUGAGACAUCCUGCCUGUACACCAAUCAAAACCAUCACGAAGCUUUUCUAUUGUCUUAUAAAUCGCUCGCCAAGUGCUUGAAACAUUAUUAGAAAAUUUGGGUGAAAAGCAAGAACUCCCAGAUAAAUAUUUUGCCAACAUAAUUCUUACCCAAAGCUUAUCUUUAUUAUGCAAUAAUUGUCAAACAAGCUUUCCGAGUAAAGCAAAAUUUACGCAUUAAGUAUCCCUAAUUCCCAAGCCUCCAUAUUUUCUUGGAGUGACAACUUUGCUCCACUUGACCAAAUUUAAGCAACGCUCCCCCACCUUUCCCUUCCACAAGAAUUGUCUAAGCACAGAAUCAAUCUUUUGACAAACCGAAGUAAUCUUUUGACAAACCGAAGUAGGAAAAAGAGUCACUUGCAUCUGAUAAAUAGGAAGAGAAGAAGCAACAGAUUUAAUUAAGCAAAGCCUGCCUGCUCUGUUAAGGAGCUGACUUUUCCAACUAACCAGCCUAUUCUUGAUCUUCUCUAAAGAGUCCGAAAAAAUAGAUCUAGCAGCUCGAGGAUGAUUAAGGUUCACCCCCAAGUAUUUGCCUAGGUCACUAGUAAAAGGAAUAUGAGAAACACCAGACAACAUUUCCUUUCUUCUAUUAGAGAUAUUUCUAGAACAAAUAGCUUUAGAUUUUUCAAUGUUAAUCUUCAUACCUGAAGCUUUACAGAACAACUCCAAGGUGUGCACAACAUUCUGAACUUGACUUUUCUUCGCUUUACAAAAAAGGAGGAGGUCAUCUGCAAACAUCAAGUGAGAAACUCUAGGUCUCCCUCUAGAAACAGCCACACCAUCCCAAAUACCCUCGUCAACUUGUUUGGAAAUAGUGAAGUAAUGCAUCAUAGCACCAUCAACUGAGAAUAAAAAAAAUCAGCAACAAGCAAGUGAAGCAUCUCAGAAAUCAGAAUAAAUAAAAUUUAACAAAUAAUGAAUGACUCGUUCCACACACAACAGAGGAAACAAAUAAAAAACUAAAGUGAAAAAGGGAGGAAAUCAGUGAAAAUAAAGAAGAGCACGAAGAUGUUGAGGGAUGGCGAAGAUUGAAGAACUCACGGCGACGGCGAAGAGUUCACAGUGGCACGGGUAUGUUUGCACUUCGCACAGAGAGUGGUGCUCUCCACACACACACACAGAGGGCCGACGACGGCGAGGAUAGAGGCGGGCUUCACUACGAGCACAGAGACGGUGAGAAGGAGAAGAGUGGUGGCGGAUGUUUGCUCUGAUAGGGUUAAAUACUUUGUGAAAUUAGGGAUUUUGCCAUUUUGGUGACAGUGAGAGAGAAUGGAGAGGGGAUUGGAGGUCUUCUAUGCGUUUUUUUUUUUAAAUAAAAACGACGUAGUUUUGAUGCUGAAUGGGAGAAUCGGGCCUUCAAAAAACCCUGCUGGUUCAGCCGGUUUUUCACUGAUUUUUGCAGGCCGGUUUUAGAUGUUAACCGAACCGGUUGGUCUGGUCUAGUUUUCAGAACCUUGGGAAUUACUUUACCUCUCCUGUCACACCCAAGUUUCGCAAAGAAACUCAGAAAUUUUCAUUCAUCAAAAUUGAUUCAGAAAGAGUAACAAGGAGUCUUUAAAUAGGCUCCUAACAGAUCAACCUAAGAAUGAGCCAAAUCUUCCUAGAUAUCUAAUUUGAAUUUAAAUCUCUAAAGAUAAUUUAAUUUAAAUUAGAUUUGAUUUUUAUUGGAUUAGAUCAUAUUUGAUUUAACUUUAAACUUUUUAAAAAUACUACUAAACAAAUUAGAACUAAAUCAAAUCUUUUAACAGAUCUUAAUAACAAAACAAACUAAACAUAAACUAAAAAGUCCUCCUGAAUACGUAUCAUCCCCCCUGCAAAAAGAUUCGUCCUUGAAUCUUGUUCAAUCACUUUUGAAAAAUAAUCCAUCAACUGAGUCCACUGUGCAUGCCUUUUGUUCAAGAUCGCCUGAACUAUCAAAAUGCAAAACAAACUGCAUUUUGUAGUAUGUUGAAUACUUGAGACAUGUUCCAUGUAGCCGCUCACUAUAGAAUGGAAUUGGUUGUCCACUUGUCCUUCACUCCUUCCACCCACAUUAAUUCCUUCAAAAUUCACCAAUAAAUCUGCAAAACCUUUAAAAUCUAACAUGUAAACACUAGGCAAUUCAUGAUUACUUGAUUAGAUAUAUGAGAAACUGAAGACUCUAUGAAUGUCAUAGACACUAAUGCACUCUUGUUUAAACUAUAUAACUUUCAACAUUUCUCUCACAAGUGUGUUUAUUGCUCUUAGUUUCUUUUUUUCUCAAUGACUCUUCUCUCUUACUAUUUUCUGCCUUUUUCUCAAAACCCUCUUUUUCACUCAAACAUUGAUUCUUUUCACUGAAACACGCACUUUUUUUCUCGGUCUCUUCUCUCAAAUACUUUUCUUUUCUCUCUUGUUUUUCAAAUUGCUCACAUCCCAAGCACUCCUUUGAGAACUGUUGCACCUUUGGUUCCUCUAAGUACUCAUCUCCAUCUACAACAUACUCAACAAAUGCUUUCAUCAUUGACUGUGAAGUAGAAUUAAAGAUAGGAUCAAAAGAAGUUUGCUGAUGUCGAUCUAUAAUAUUCUUUUUGAAAUCUGCAACAGUGAAUUUUGUCGUAUCCUCAAACUUUGCUCAUUUAGAACCCUGUGUAGAAUUGGAGUCUGAAGAGCGCCAAAUUGCCAUAAAUUGUUGUUGCGCCUCCACCUCAAUUGCCAAAUGGACUAAAUCCUCCAUUGUUGCAUAAUAGUAAAGGUCGACCUUAUCUACAAUUUCUUGGUUUAAUCCAAUAAGAAAUUUUCCCAUAAGAACUUUAGGACCCUUGUUAACAUUAGCUUUGCACAUCAAAUACAGCAACUCCUUGUGGUACUCCUUUAUUGAUCUUGAACAAAAGGCAUGCACAGUGGACUCAGCUGAUGGGCUAUUUUUCAAAAGUGAUUGAACAAGAUUCGAGGAAGAAUCUUUUUGCAGAGGGGGAGAAUGAUACGUGUUCAGGAGGACUUUUUAGUCUGUGUUUAGUUUGUUUUGUUAUUAGGAUUUGUUAGAAGAUUUGAUUUAGUUCUGAUUUGUUUAGUAGUAUUUUUAGAAAGUUUAAAUUUAAAUCAAACCUGAUCUAAUCCAAUAAAGAUCAAAUCUGAUUUAAAUUAUCUUUACUUCUUUAGAGAUUUAAAUUCAAAUUAGAUAUCUAGGAAGAUUUGGCUCAUUCUUAGGUUGAUUUGCUAGGAGCCUAUUUAAAGACUCCUUGUUACUCUUUUUGAAUUAAUUUUUAUGAAUGAAAAUUUUUUCGAGUUUUUUUGAGAAACUUGGGUAGAGGAGUAUCUUUCUUUGAUUUUUCAGCUUAUUUUGGAUUCCGAUCCGUAUCAAUACCGUUGUAUGGCUUUAAUGUAUUAUGCACUCAGGUUCAAUGCAGUGCAUCAUAGCAUUGUCCAAACGAAGGUGUUGAUUGUGUUUUUGUGCGUGUGUUUUUUUCCCCCCUCCGGUUCUCUAAGAUGGCAGCAGGUUGGUGCCUGGCGUGUUGUUGAUUUUGUUUCCUUUGCCGAUAUUUUUGUUGUUUGAUAAAGCAGUUCUGUUGCAAAGCUUUUGUUAGCCAGAGUGGAAGUUGGAUUUUCUUAUGUAAUUGUGAAUAUUAUUCUUGCUAUUCAACAAGACGGAGCUCUAGGAAAACACGAAGUAGCUAUUAUAAGAACUCUUUCAUUCUAGUAUCA